AGACCCGAAACCCGGUGAUCUAGCCAUGGGCAGGUUGAAGGUUGGGUAACACUAACUGGAGGACCGAACCGACUAAUGUUGAAAAAUUAGCGGAUGACCUGUGGCUGGGGGUGAAAGGCCAAUCAAACCGGGAGAUAGCUGGUUCUCCCCGAAAGCUAUUUAGGUAGCGCCUCGUGAAUUCAUCUCCGGGGGUAGAGCACUGUUUCGGCUAGGGGGCCAUCCCGGCUUACCAACCCGAUGCAAACUGCGAAUACCGGAGAAUGUUAUCACGGGAGACACACGGCGGGUGCUAACGUCCGUCGUGAAGAGGGAAACAACCCAGACCGCCAGCUAAGGUCCCAAAGUCAUGGUUAAGUGGGAAACGAUGUGGGAAGGCCCAGACAGCCAGGAUGUUGGCUUAGAAGCAGCCAUCAUUUAAAGAAAGCGUAAUAGCUCACUGGUCGAGUCGGCCUGCGCGGAAGAUGUAACGGGGCUAAACCAUGCACCGAAGCUGCGGCAGCGACACUCAGGUGUUGUUGGGUAGGGGAGCGUUCUGUAAGCCUGUGAAGGUGUGCUGUGAGGC
rnacentral:rRNA from 1 species